UUUACGAGUCAGGCCGCAGAUACGGUGUUAUAGUGUGCUAGAGAUGCUCUUAGACACCCGAAAACCAGAGAUUGGGAUCAAUAUUCCCCUUAAUACCUCUCUGUGAUUAUUCCCCGACCAAAAGCACUUUCCUCUUUGGAUGGGAUGGGAUACUUCAUCUAGUGCCGGCGGCACAGCUCCCAACCCAACCUGAUUGCUGCCGCCGCGAGCCCCCUGUUCCUCUGCCAGGUACCUCAUUGUGAUUGACGAUGUAUGGACAAUAGCAGCGUGGGAUGCUAUCCGAUCCACGCUGCCAGACAACAACCUCGACAGCAGAAUCAUGGUGACCACUCGGAUAGAGGCUGUGGCUGUAGCAUGCAGCGAUGCUAGUGAAAUUUGUGGAGAUAACAUCUAUCACAUCGAGCCCCUCAAUUCAGAAGACUCCAAGAAGCUGUUCCUCAGCAGAGCAUUUGGCUCCAAGGAUGCCACUUGCCCCACAGAGCUGGAAGAUGAAAUGAACAAAAUUCUCAAGAAAUGUGGUGGGCUGCCAUUGGCCAUUGUCAGCAUUGGCAGCCUUUUGGCCAGCUAUAAAUCACCGGAGCACAAGGAUAUGUGGGAUAGGGUUUGCAAAUCAAUUAGUUAUCAUAUGGAUACCAAUCCCACCCUUGACGGGAUGAGGCAGAUACUCACACUCAGCUACGACCACCUGCCCUAUCACCUCAAGGGUUGCAUGAUGUAUCUUAGUAUUUUCCCGGAGGAUUUUCUCAUCAACAAGGACCGGCUCGUAUACAGAUGGAUCGCUGAAGGAUUGGUUGAGGAGAAGCGGGGGAUGACCCUGUUGGAGGUUGCAGAAGCCUACUAUGACGAGCUGGUGAGUAGGGGCAUGAUUAAUCCCGCUGGCGAAAUAAUCAGCCAUGUCUAUGGAGCUGUGGAGACAUGUCGGGUGCAUGACUUGAUGCUGGAGGUCAUGGUGUCCAAAUCCUUGGAGGCCAACUUUGUCAGCCUGAUAGGUGGGCAGUAUGAUGGGAUGUCCUAUGACACAAUACGCCGCCUCUCCCUCCAUGGUGGUGCGCAGAUGCCCAAGGAAUCUCCAUCCAAGAAGUACUCUCCAUCCAAAAGACCCAAGGAAUCUACAUCCAAGAAAAUGGUUAAGAAGAAUGACUUAAAAGACAUUAAUGUGCAGCAUGUCCGAUCACUGAGUAUGUUUCAGCUCCAAGGGAACAAGCUGCUUGAUCGUCUGGGUGAGUUCACCCUGCUGAGAGUACUUGACCUGGAAGACUGCAAGGGCGUAGAAAACAAGCAUAUGGGUGACAUCUGUCGGAUGUACCUUCUGAGGUAUUUGUCCCUGAGAGGUACAGAUAUCAGUGUGCUGCCUCCGAAAGUCUGUGACCUGGAGCAUUUGCAGACACUUGAUGUACGUGCCACCGGCCUUGCUAGACUUCCAGAAACUCUGAUAAAACUAGAGAAACUUGAGCGCUUGUUCUUCUCCCAGAAGGAUGUCUGGUCUACCAUGUGGAAGCCACCUCAGGGUCUCUGGAAAAUGAAGGCGCUGCGGGAGGUGGGCUGGAUAUUGCUGGAAGAUGAUGCUGUUGAGGUUGCCCAAGAGGUAGGUGAACUAGAAAAUCUGCAAAGGUUAAGUAUCUACGUCGAUUGUGAGAGGCCCAAUGGUCCCAAGGUUCUUGAAGAGCUUGCCCUGUCCCUGAGCAGGACGCACUCUCUCCGGUCGCUCGACAUGGGCACCAUGAGUUAUGAGGCCAAUGCGUUGAACUUUCUCCUUGAGCUCCCCUCGCCGCCACGCCUCCUCCGAUUCCUCAGGAUCGCUGGUGGCAUUGACAAAUUGCCCAACUGGGUUGAAUCGCUCACAUAUCUUGUUGAGUUUCACAUGUCAUGGGCACACUUUAUCGAUGACCAACUAUUUGGGGUUCUGUGUAAGUUGCCCAACCUGAAGAGCAUCUGGAUGCAGCGGAACUGCUACACCGGUCUAGAGCUGAUUGCACGCGCUGCACACAACUUUCCAGCGCUCAAGAAUCUCAGAGGGACCUGUGAUAACGAAAUGCCCAGAGUCUACAAAUUUGAGGAAGGAUCCAUGACAAAGCUCGAGAAACUUUCACUGAAUUUCGACAACUGGAGUGAGAAGAGCAUUGUGGGCAUUGAGCACUUGACAAGCCUUAAAGAGGUGCAGCUCGCAGGUAAGAGAGGGAACCCUGCGCUGGACCGAACUCUGGAGCAGCUAAAGGUGGAGAGUGGAAGGCACCCCAAUCAGUUCACAGUUGGAGUGAAGUACGACUAACCUUGUCGCUCUGCUUGCUUGCUGGUUGCAAGCUGUCAUUGCCAAAAAUAGUGUGGCACCAUCUGCCAAGGGAUUACCGUCGUUGCUCGCCCCAGGCUGCUCCCAAGCAGCUGGAGUUCGUCUCAUUGGCGUCACUCUUGACCAUGGGGGCCCAUGUCCAGCAGAUUGGCGCCCUCGAUCUUCUCUGCACCGGAGCGACACCUCUUAAUUAAUCAAUCAAUUAAUUUGGGGAUGCAUUCAUGACAUUCAGAAUAUUUUUAGAGGAAAAUCUUGGAACCCUUCCUUGUUAUUCCUCUCAAGUUGCCAGCUAACAUAUCUCAGAUCCUUGGCAGCAUGAUCGAACAGAUAUGGAGUAUUGCCCAUCCAUUAAUAGACGAUAGCGUUUGUGUACAGCGACAAGAAUUUGUGCUGGUAAUAUGUAUCAUUAGAUCUCAACUGCUAAUGCUUUCACCAGGAAACAAGUUCAGAUAUAAACAAUGUCAUCAAUUAGCAUCAUCUGUGGUGAUUAGCCCAUUCUUAACAGCAAGCAAGCCUGCUAUAUAUACCGGUGUUGACUGGGCCGACGGCGACCAGCUUAAAGAGGCCAUAGAUGGCCAGCUUGUUCUCUCUUCAAACUCCUCAUGAAGAACCAGUCAGCAAUUAGCAUCUGGGUUGCUCAUUUUGUAUGUAUACCUUCACCUGUUAACAGGUCUCCAUCAGUUUGUCCAUAUCAACUAUACCGACCAGCACCAACUAUCAUGACUAAUUGGCAAGGACCCCAAGUUGUCUAUUUAACAACAAUUUCAGUGAUAACAUUUUAUACUUAAGAUGCUUUCUGCUGCCUUCCUUGAAUUGCUCACUUCUGUGUUUCUCCAAAGUUUAGAUUAAGAAAUCUGAAGAGUUCAUAAGACCAAUUAUUGGGUUGGUAAGGGACGCAAAAGCGGUGCUAACCAGCCAGAAGGUGUGUAUAGCAAGAGCUUCCCCAAAGAGACUAGCAUUCCCAAAUCUGGCUGGAGUUUGGGGAACCGUGCAUAGAGUUUUCUUCAGCAAGGCAGGCUAGUAGGUGGCUAUUCUUUGGUUCUGUAAAAAAAAACAAGGACAUCUCGAGUUGAAGAUUAAAUCCAGCUAUCGUUCC